AUGCAGUCGAACGGGCUAGCAAUAGUCAGUGGCGCACGGGUGCGUAACACGUAGGUAAUCAACCCCUUGGUUCGGGAUAACGUUCUGAAAGGAGCGCUAAUACCGGACGCGUCUUCGGGAGCUUCGGCUCCUGUCGAGAAAGACCCGCAAGGGUUGCCGAGGGACGAGCCUGCGGCCCAUCAGCUAGUUGGCGAGGUAAUAGCUCACCAAGGCGAAGACGGGUAGCUGGUCUGAGAGGAUGAUCAGUCACACUGGAACUGAGACACGGUCCAGACUCCUACGGGAGGCAGCAGUGGGGAAUAUUGCGCAAUGGGCGAAAGCCUGACGCAGCCACGCCGCGUGAGCGAUGAAGGCCUUCGGGUCGUAAAGCUCUGUGGGGAGAGACGAAGAAAGCCUGUGAAGAGCAGGCCUUGACGGUAUCUCCUUAGCAAGCACCGGCUAACUCCGUGCCAGCAGCCGCGGUAAUACGGAGGGUGCGAACGUUGCUCGGAAUCAUUGGGCGUAAAGCGCACGUAGGCGGCGGCGUAAGCGGGAUGUGAAAGCCCAGGGCUCAACCCUGGAAGUGCAUCCCGAACUGUGUCGCUUGAAUCUCGGAGGGGGACAGAGAAUUCCCGGUGUAGAGGUGAAAUUCG
rnacentral:rRNA from 1 species